CAGUAGCCGCGGUAAUACGGAGGGAGCUAGCGUUGUUCGGAAUCACUGGGCGUAAAGCGCACGUAGGCGGCUAUUCAAGUCAGGGGUGAAAGCCCGGGGCUCAACCCCGGAACUGCCUUUGAAACUAGAUAGCUUGAAUCUUGGAGAGGCGAGUGGAAUUCCGAGUGUAGAGGUGAAAUUCGUAGAUAUUCGGAAGAACACCAGUGGCGAAGGCGACUCGCUGGACAAGUAUUGACGCUGAGGUGCGAAAGCGUGGGGAGCAAACAGGAUUAGAUACCCGCGUAGUCCCUGUCUCUUAUAU
rnacentral:rRNA from 1 species